rnacentral:rRNA from 1 species
GACCUGCCCACUGAGGAUUUAAAUGGCCGCGGUAUUUUGACCGUGCAAAGGUAGCAUAAUAAUUAGUUUUUUAAUUGAAAGCUGGAAUGAAAGGUUGGAUGAGAAAAUAACUGUCUCUAUUUAGAUUAAUUAGAAUUUUAUUUUUAAGUAAAAAAGCUUAAAUAAAAGUAGAAGACGAGAAGACCCUAUAGAGUUUUAAUUUAGUUGGGGUGAUUGAAAAAUUUAAUAAACUUUUUUUAUAUAAAACCAUUGAUUUAUGAAUAAUUGAUCCUUUAUGAAAGAUUAAAAGAAAAAAUUACCUUAGGGAUAACAGCGUAAUUUUUUUAGAGAGUUCAAAUCGAAAAAAAAGAUUGCGACCUCGAUGUUGGAUUAAAAUUAAGUCUUGGUGUAGAAGCUAAG